CAGAGCUUGAGCUACAGGGGAAGCUAAGAGAACCUGGAAAAAUACUUUUUUCUCUAGUCCUCGUUUGUCCUAUGUGCAGUGAAGUUGACUUUUUCUUAGGACUUCCGCAGCUAGCCCCGGAACUGCUCUGCGGAGAGAACCGCCUCUGAGCUGUGCUCUCCCUUCCCCCGCAGCGCAGAGCGCCGUGGGCAGCAAGAUGCCAGCGGACCGUGAAGCCGCUAAGCACGGGAGGAAGAGGGGGAUUUCUCAUUUGUUUCUCCCAGCUCUAAAUGAAAGGGGGCAAAAGUGGGUAAAGGUCAGAGAGAAGGAGGGAGAAGAGCCAGCAAGAUAUUAAGACAACUGGGAAGGGCUGAGAGGAGUCAAUGAAACCCUCGGUGGUCGUGGGACUGCGGAAGGACUGUCCUGCAGGACUGCGCUGUGUUAAGUUUUUCAGGUAGCCAUGUACGGAUGUGACAGUUGGACCAUAAAGAAGGCUGAGCGCUGAAGAAUUGAUGUCUUUGAACUGUGGUGCUGGAGAAGACUCUUGGGAGUUCCUUGGACAGCAAGGAGAUCAAACCAGUCCAUCCUAAAGGAGAUCAACUCUGAAUAUUCAUUGGAAGGACUGAUGCUGAAGCUUAAGCUCCAAUACUUUGGCCACCUGAUGUGAAGAGCCAACUCAUUGGAAAAGACCCUGAUGCUGGGAAAGAUUGAAGGCAGGAGGUGAAGGGGACAACAGAGGAUGAGAUGGUUGGAUGGCAUCACUGACUCAAUGGACAUGAGAGGGGACUCUGGGAGAUGGUGAAGGACAGGGAAGACUGGCAUGCUGUAGUCCACGGGGUCACAAAGAGUUGGACGACUGACCGUCUGAACAACAACAAACAUUCUUAUAUUAACUUCAGCCCAGAUGAAGAGUUGUGGAACCACGCUUUAAGAUACACUGCUUGGAUCUUGGACAACAUAGGGCCUAUGCUCUCCAUAGUGAGAAAUGGAAAUAACCUUGAUGGGUCUCCUGGCAAUAUUGUUCAGGACCUGAGCCAAUCUGGGCUCUGAGGCUGUUAAUCAUGCCUGCAACAGCACCCUGCACUAGGGAAGGACAGAUUAGGACCCUGCACUAAUCUGAAAAUUUCCAGUAAGGGAGGUUCGCUGCGUCAAAACAGGAAAACACUUCAGUGCUGUGUGUCUGCUGGUUUAAUUGUGUGGAUAAGUUUAAAUUAAAUAAACUGCAUUUGAUGUAAAUCGAGAAAGUUGGACUGGGCAGGUUGUUGCAGACAUUGAGUCCUUACAAUGAUUAAUAUUGGGGGGGGGGUCUUUUCAAUACAUAGGAUAAUUUUUAUUAUUGGGGUGCAGUGCUAGCAGCAUGAGAAGCAUCCUAAGACAGUGUGCUUUAUGUUCUGUUCUCUUUGGUGCAACAAAAGGUCACUGAUUCUAUAGCUGCUGGGUUCUGAAUUUGAAUCUUGGAUCUGCCACUUUAGCUUUGCAACCCUGGGCAAGAUACUAAGUUCCAAUAAAAUGUCCUGUAUUGAGGUUUA